AACGUAGGAGGCAAGCGUUAUCCGGAGUUACUGGGCGUAAAGCGCAUGUAGGCGGUUGGGUAAGUGGCGUGUGAAAGCUCCCGGCUAAACUGGGAGAGGACAGGUCAGACUGCCGAACUCGAGUCCGAUAGAGGGCCGUAGAAUUCCGGGUGUAGCGGUGAAAUGUGUAGAGAUCCGGAGGAAUACCAGUGGCGCAAGCGGCGCCCUGGGUCGGUACUGACGCUGAGAUGCGAAAGCGUGGGGAGCGAACAGG
rnacentral:rRNA from 1 species